rnacentral:tRNA from 1 species
GCCUUCGUAGCUCAGUGGAUAGAGCACCGGUUUCCUAAACCGUAGGUCGCAGGUUCGAUCCCUGCCGAGGGCA